UUUUUGGCUGUGAAGAGGAUUAGUACAUGUAAGCCGGCUCAGAGAGGAAAUCAGAUGGUGCGAGAUUUCUGCCUAACACUUAUAUGGAACCGGCCUUGGAGCCUCUGUAUGAAAAUACAGCGCUUAUCAGCGAUAACGAUAAAUGAGAGAACUGUAAGUGGGUUACAGUUAACUAGGGUGGUACCGCCGAGCUUUUCGGUCCCUUUC
rnacentral:ncRNA from 1 species